AUACUGCCGAAGAGUCCAAAAACUAGGACGAAACAGCUUUCCAGUAC
rnacentral:hammerhead_ribozyme from 1 species